rnacentral:lncRNA from 1 species
CAUAUUAAUAUAUUAUACGAUAAUAAAAAAAAUAAAAUACAUAUCUCAUUAAUUUUUGAAAAUCUUAUUGUAAAAAUUUUGAUCCUCGUCGAUCACUAUGCAAAUGAUAUAAAAAAAUCACAAAGUUUAUUUUAUAGGUACUUAAAAUAUUUAAAAUCAAGUCUAACGGAGUCGAUCGUUGAUUCGAAAGUCCCAAUAUCGAAAACGACUAUGAAGUA